rnacentral:rRNA from 1 species
GACGAACGCUGGCGGCGUGCCUAAUACAUGCAAGUCGAGCGGACAGAUAAGGAGCUUGCUCCUUUGAAGUCAGCGGCGGACGGGUGAGUAACACGUGGGCAACCUGCCUAUAAGACUGGGAUAACUCCGGGAAACCGGGGCUAAUACCGGAUAGAUUCUUUCCUCUCAUGAGGAAAGAAGGAAAGACGGUUUCGGCUGUCACUUAUAGAUGGGCCCGCGGCGCAUUAGCUAGUUGGUAAGGUAACGGCUUACCAAGGCGACGAUGCGUAGCCGACCUGAGAGGGUGAUCGGCCACACUGGGACUGAGACACGGCCCAGACUCCUACGGGAGGCAGCAGUAGGGAAUCUUCCGCAAUGGACGAAAGUCUGACGGAGCAACGCCGCGUGAACGAAGAAGGCUUUCGGGUCGUAAAGUUCUGUUGUUAGGGAAGAACAAGUACGAUAGUAACUGAUCGUACCUUGACGGUACCUAACCAGAAAGCCACGGCUAACUACGUGCCAGCCGCCGCCGUAAGAC